CUUCCCGUGGCCCCGGGGCUCAGGGGCAGCCCAGGACUCUCCCUCGCCCGGCUCACGGCCCUGCCUGGGGGGCGCCUCCGGGAGCAGAUCACGAGCCCUGGGGCUCAGCCCUCAGGCGCGUCUAGCUCGGCGGUCACCCCAGUGCCGGGAGGACCCUGAAGACGCGCCCCAGGCGGCCCUACUCAGAGCCUCCUCCCAAGGCCCAGGAAUGCGGCGCUGUCGGAGGUGUGCGCGGUGGCCACACCGCUGUCCGGGUCCCCAAAGCGGGCCCCGCUCCCACUUCUCGCCUUGGCCCCGAACCCUGGGUCCAGCCCCAGCGCUUUGUGUGCGAACACCGCUCCGCCCCGGACCCAGCUCCGCCUUGGGGCCCCUCUCUGCCUGCCCCUCCGUGCCCGACUACACUGCUUCCCCUCCGGCGGGCGACUCAGCCCGGUCCAUCGUGGCGGCUUCCAGGGCGGCAGGCUCCGGGAGUACUCCCGGGGCCGGCUCCAAGGACUGUUCCCCUCCUCCCCACUCCCACUCCGCGGCGGCGGCGGGCGAGAGCGGCGACAUAGGGCCAGGGUCCGGAGCGGUGGAGGCUCCUGGCCGGGGAGCACGUCGCCCCACCCGGCAACGCGAGGAUGGUGGCGGCGCAGUCGGCUGCUUUGGGGUCUCAAGGCACAGGGGACGCGAGGCACAGAUGUCCCACAGCAGCCACUGCGGCUCCCGCAGCUGCUCCGCCGCCGCUGCCCGCCCCUCCCUGCUGCAGCUGGCGUGAUGGCAGCGGCAGCUCUGGACGCCCCACUGCUGCCACCAUCAGCCUUGUGAAAUAGCUUGAAAGAUCUAGCCACGUGAGCAGGACAGAAGUGCACAACAACCAUAUCUUGAUUUCUGUGGACCAGGUGGGGCCCCUGCCAGCCUUGCUAGACAGACCCAGGUGAACAGUCCUUCUAGGGGAUCUCAUCACCAGGCAAGCACGUGGUACGAGAAGAGCAGUCAUUAGGAAGGCCAUUUGGAAAAGCACAUCCUCUCUGUUCACGUGUUUCCAAGGGUUGUCAGUGAUUAAAUCAACCUUACCUUAGCAUACAUGUAUGAGAGAAGUUAGAUAAAUUAUACAUAGAGAGAUAGCUAGAUAGAUAAUAGAUAAAUAAGGUAGAUGACAGAUUAGAUACAGAUGAUAAACAGAUAUGCUAUCAGUCUAGAUCUAUUACUCACAGUCAGUCGUAUCACAGUGUAAUUCCAUCAACUUCAUUUGCAGCAAAAGAACAGCCCCUGAUGUACGCCUGUUUCCUGAAUAUUUGGAAAUAUUAAUAUUAAUAUAGAUAGAGUCAGCUUGCCAGUAUAAAGAAUCUAUCUCUCACUAUAGGCAGAGCCAUGUGUUGGAUAUUAUGGAGGAAUAUGUAUUAUUUUAAUCGUUUAAAAGACUAAUAAACUUCUAAUCUACUUUUGGGAGCCUCUGCUCAAGUUCCUGAGGUUCCUACUCUAAAAUCCACAUCACCCUCCAACUGCUCCCUAUGUGAGCCAUUAGGGAGCACAAUGAAUUAGAGAAUGAAUCCUAUUAGCCCACUAAAAAAUUAUCUUUCAAAGGAUGAAGACUGAUGCUAAGGAAAAAGAGAUGAGGCCUCCCUGGUUCCGCAUUAUUACUCCUUCCUUUCUUGGGUUACGGAUUGAACACUGACCUUUUCUUUCACUCUUCUGCAAGACAACCCCAUAAGAAAGCUGAAACCUGCUUUUGUGAAAGCCUAUGAUUACUAUAAGACAGGCACAGAGCAAGAAAAUGUUUGAGGCUUGUGUCUAUAAACAAGACUUGGCUGGAAUCCCCAGACCCACGACUUUUUAAAAGGAUAUUUUGUCCCUGCAAUACAGAUACUGAAUGAGGUUGGCAAAUAAAUAUGUAUUUCUAGAGACUCUAUAA
rnacentral:lncRNA from 1 species